rnacentral:lncRNA from 1 species
CUCCCACCUCGGCCUCCUGAGAAGGUGUCCUAGAGCUUCCUGUUCAGAAAAGAGGGUCCAUGGUGACACUUACCCGAAGCAGCCUUUGGAAAGCACUACUUUUGGUCACACGUCUGAAAUAUCGGAACAAAAGUUCCAUUCCUACCAGAGGAAAAGACAAAAUCAAAACAACACGCCCAACAAUGAAACCCAGAAACAACAACCGAGGGCUUCCCCGCUUGUGUUUCUGCAGAGCUUUCACUUGAAUUUGCAAAGCUAAGUGGCUCAGAUUCUUCAGAGAGGUGUUUGAUUAACUAUUUGGAUUUAUGAGUGAUUUCUUAAUCUAUAUGUAAAAUUGCAGUCCUUCUGCCACACAAAACACAAUUCUUCUAUUUUUGGAAAACACACCUGAAUCUCAGCAUGCCUCACAUACGUGCAAUUGUGAGCAAUUGCCCGAC